CUAAUAAAGAAUGGUUUUAAAGAAAUUGUCGGUUGAUGCCCACAUCACCUGCUUGGGUUGAAGUGAACCAAGCUAAAAAUGAAUAAAAAUGGACAAAUAUACUGUUGGCAGCCAUUGAGUUAGAAACACACUAGGAAUCAUCAGUCUUCGGCUGGCAAGGGAAAUAAAGACAAACAAUUUGAUCUAGCUAAAUGAUAAAAGAAUGUGUAAGGCAGAACAGCAAAGACAGUGAAAAGGAAUGCUAUGUGCAAACAGAUGAAGGAUGAAAUCAUGAAAAAAUGCCAUGCAAAGGAAAAAUAAUAAUUGAACUUGAUAAGUGUUCUUCUUUAAAUGUUAGCCAAAUUGUUUUUUUUAAUUGUAUACAUAAA